AAUAAUUUAAUAUAAUAUAGUAUAUAUAAUUUCCAAUUAUAGUGAAAAUUAAUAUUAUUAUAUUAUAAUAUUAAUUA
rnacentral:tRNA from 1 species